AUUGAACGCUGGCGGCAUGCCUUACACAUGCAAGUCGAACGGCAGCACGGGAGCAAUCCUGGUGGCGAGUGGCGAACGGGUGAGUAAUAUAUCGGAACGUGCCCAGUAGUGGGGGAUAACUGCUCGAAAGAGCAGCUAAUACCGCAUACGACCUGAGGGUGAAAGGGGGGGAUCGCAAGACCUCUCGCUAUUGGAGCGGCCGAUAUCAGGUAGCUAGUUGGGGGGGUAAAGGCCUACCAAGGCAACGAUCUGUAGUUGGUCUGAGAGGACGACCAGCCACACUGGGACUGAGACACGGCCCAGACUCCUACGGGAGGCAGGAGUGGGGAAUUUUGGACAAUGGGCGCAAGCCUGAUCCAGCUAUGCCGCGUGCAGGAAGAAGGCCUUCGGGUUGUAAACUGCUUUUGUCGGGGAAGAAAUCCUCUAGGUUAAUACCCUUGGGGGGAUGACGGUACCUGAAGAAUAAGCACCGGCUAACUACGUGCCAGCAGCCGCCGUAAGAC
rnacentral:rRNA from 1 species